CGACUGACUGACUGACUGACCGUCAGAGA
rnacentral:sRNA from 1 species